AUUUUCCAGAUGUCCUGCCGGCCCUUCUUUCGGGCCUCGGCUGGGCGUGGUGACCUCAAGCGACCCCGGCGGCUCCCGUCGCCCACUCAAGAGGGCGCCCCCGCCCGCCACGCCCCCAGCCCCUCUCGGGGAAGCGCGUCCCCCGCCCGACCUCAACAACAUCCGGGAAGAAAAGGGGUCUUCUUCCUCAUGGCAUUCGCCUCCCAAAUGUCACCUUGAGCGCUGUCCGCGAUCCCAAAAAGCACUGUUAAAGAGAAGCGGGGAUACACUGGGGUCCUUGCGUGGGGGCCGCCUGGGAGACCAUGCACCGCCCGGGAGUCUCUCCGGGCAGGGUCGGGGAGGGACUUUUUUGCCGGUGGCCGUGGAGGAAUCGUCCCGUUGAGCAAUGACCCCGGUGACGCGGCUGAGGGCUAUAAAAGCAAAAGUUGUGGCAAGUCCAGCCGGAGUUAGCGACAGGGAGGGAUGCGCGCCUGGGUGUAGUUGUGGGGGAGGAAGUGGCUAGCUCAGGGCUUCAGGGGACAGACAGGGAGAGAUGACUGAGUUAGAUGAGACGAGGGGGCGGGCUGGGGGUGCGAGAAGGAAGCUUGGCAAGGAGACUAGGUCUAGGGGGACCACAGUGGGGCAGGCUGCAUGGAAAAUAUCCGCAGGGUCCCCCAGGCAGAACAGCCACGCUCCAGGCCAGGCUGUCCCUACUGCCUGGUGGAGGGGGAACUUGACCUCUGGGAGGGCGCCGCUCUUGCAUAGCUGAGCGAGCCCGGGUGCGCUGGUCUGUGUGGAAGGAGGAAGGCAGGGAGAGGUAGAAGGGGUGGAGGAGUCAGGAGGAAUAGGCCGCAGCAGCCCUGGAAAUGAUCAGGAAGGCAGGCAGUGGGUGCAGGGCUGCAGGAGGGCCGGGAGGGCUAAUCUUCAACUUGUCCAUGCCAGCAGCCCCUUUUUUUCCAGACCAAGGGCUGUGAACCCGCCUGGGGAUGAGGCCUGGUCUUGUGGAACUGAACUUAGCUCGACGGGGCUGACCGCUCUGGCCCAGGGUGGUGGCAGUGCUCCUUUUGGACUUUUCUCUAGUGUUCCUCAUGGCGAGCAGAUGGAACCGGGAGACAUGGAGUCCCUGGCCAGUGUGAGUCCUAGCAUUGCAGGAGGGGAGACCCUGGAGGAGAGAGCCCGCCUCAAUUGAUGCCUGCAGAUUGAAUUUCCAGAGGCUUAGGAGGAGGAAGUUCUCCAAUGUUCUGUUUCCAGGCCUUGCUCAGGAAGCCCUGUAUUCAGGAGGCUACCAUUUAAAGUUUGCAGAUGAGCUUAUGGGGGGCAAUCUUAAAAAGUCCACAGCAGAUGCAUCCGGCUCGAGGGGCCAUCAGCUUUGAAUAAAUGCUUGUUCCAGAGCCCAUGAAUGCCAGCAGGCACCCCUCCUUUCCUGGGGUAAAGGUUUUCAGAUGCUGCAUCUUCUAAAUUGAGCCUCCGGUCAUACUAGUUUUGUGCUUGGAACCUUGCUUCAAGAAGAUCCCUAAGCUGUAGAACAUUUUAACGUUGAUGCCACAACGCAGAUUGAUGCCUUGUAGAUGGAGCUUGCAGAUGGAGCCCCGUGACCUCUCACCUACCCACCUGUUUGCCUGCCUUCUUGUGCGUUUCUCGGAGAAGUUCUUAGCCUGAUGAAAUAACUUGGGGCGUUGAAGAGCUGUUUAAUUUUAAAUGCCUUAGACUGGGGAUAUAUUAGAGGAAGCAGAUUGUCAAAUUAAGGGUGUCAUUGUGUUGUGCUAAACGCUGGGAGGGUACAAGUUGGUCAUUCCUAAAUCUGUGUGUGAGAAAUGGCAGGUCUAGUUUGGGCAUUGUGAUUGCAUUGCAGAUUACUAGGAGAAGGGAAUGGUGGGUACACCGGUAGUGCUCUUUUGUUCUUGCUUCGUUUUUUUAAACUUGAACUUUACUUCGUUAGAUUUCAUAAUACUUUCUUGGCAUUCUAGUAAGAGGACCCUGAGGUGGGAGUUGUGGGGGACGGGGAGAAGGGGACAGCUUGGCACCGGUCCCGUGGGCGUUGCAGUGUGGGGGAUGGGGGUAUGCAGCUUGGCACUGGUACUGGGAGGGAUGAGGGUGAAGAAGGGGAGAGGGUUGGUUAGAGAUACAGUGUGGGUGGUGGGGGUGGUAGGAAAUGCAGGUUGAAGGGAAUUCUCUGGGGCUUUGGGGAAUUUAGUGCGUGGGUGAGCCAAGAAAAUACUAAUUAAUAAUAGUAAGUUGUUAGUGUUGGUUAAGUUGUUGCUUGGAAGUGAGAAGUUGCUUAGAAACUUUCCAAAGUGCUUAGAACUUUAAGUGCAAACAGACAAACUAACAAACAAAAAUUGUUUUGCUUUGCUACAAGGUGGGGAAGACUGAAGAAGUGUUAACUGAAAACAGGUGACACAGAGUCACCAGUUUUCCGAGAACCAAAGGGAGGGGUGUGUGAUGCCAUCUCACAGGCAGGGGAAAUGUCUUUACCAGCUUCCUCCUGGUGGCCAAGACAGCCUGUUUCAGAGGGUUGUUUUGUUUGGGGUGUGGGUGUUAUCAAGUGAAUUAGUCACUUGAAAGAUGGGCGUCAGACUUGCAUACGCAGCAGAUCAGCAUCCUUCGCUGCCCCUUAGCAACUUAGGUGGUUGAUUUGAAACUGUGAAGGUGUGAUUUUUUCAGGAGCUGGAAGUCUUAGAAAAGCCUUGUAAAUGCCUAUAUUGUGGGCUUUUAACGUAUUUAAGGGACCACUUAAGACGAGAUUAGAUGGGCUCUUCUGGAUUUGUUCCUCAUUUGUCACAGGUGUCUUGUGAUUGAAAAUCAUGAGCGAAGUGAAAUUGCAUUGAAUUUCAAGGGAAUUUAGUAUGUAAAUCGUGCCUUUACUACAUGUGUGAUCUGAAAACCCUGCUUGGUUCUGAGCUGCGUCUAUUGAAUUGGUAAAGUAAUACCAAUGGCUUUUUAUCAUUUCCUUCUUCCCUUUAAGUUUCACUUGAAAUUUUAAAAAUCAUGGUUAUUUUUAUCGUUGGGAUCUUUCUGUCUUCUGGGUUCCAUUUUUUAAAUGUUUAAAAAUAUGUUGACAUGGUAGUUCAGUUCUUAACCAAUGACUUGGGGAUGAUGCAAACAAUUACUGUCGUUGGGAUUUAGAGUGUAUUAGUCACGCAUGUAUGGGGAAGUAGUCUCGGGUAUGCUGUUGUGAAAUUGAAACUGUAAAAGUAGAUGGUUGAAAGUACUGGUAUGUUGCUCUGUAUGGUAAGAACUAAUUCUGUUACGUCAUGUACAUAAUUACUAAUCACUUUUCUUCCCCUUUACAGCACAAAUAAAGUUUGAGUUCUAAACUCAUUAGAAUUGUUGUAUUGCUAUGUUACAUUUCUCGACCCCUAUCACAUUGCCUUCAUAACGACUUUGGAUGUAUCUUCAUAUUGUAGAUUUAGGUCUAGAUUUGCUAGCUCCAAGUAAUUAAGGCCAUGUAGGAGAGCAUGGUAACCACAGAUAGAACUGGUAUUAUCCCAAGUGGUCUGCAGACUGCUGAGUGGGGAUGGGAUCUGCUCUCUGUUGAGAGUUGGUAAUCAUUGGUUUGAAAUGUGAUGAAACCACUCAAGCCAAUGAAGGUGGGUGUGUAGGUGGGGAGUACUUUGCCAUAAUAUUUUAAAACAUUACCUGGUUAGAGUUCUAAGUGGUACUUAUUUUUGUUUGGUUAGGGGAAAGCCUGAAUAAAAACAGAAAUGGACACAUAAUAUGCAUAUUCCAUAGUCUUUGGGAGGCUGGAAUGUGCCUGGGAUUUGGGUCUAAGUGUAUGCGUAAUUCUUACCUCACUAAAGAAUUUGCCUUGUUUUUUUCCUUUUGGUGAGUGACUAAAACGUCUGGGCUUCCCUGUGUGCGUGCUACAGUAAGCAAGCAGAGGCUGUGCAAAGGUGUGAGCAGGAUCACGUGGAAUCUGGAGGAUACAUCUUGGCUUGCAAACUGCCUCUGUCUCCUGGGUGGGACUGUUCUGUCCUUGCACUGCUGUUCUGUGUUACCUCUUGGGGUGUAAGGUUUUGCUUACAGGAGACAAACUUUGGGCGUAGAAUGGAAGCCACUGCCAGCCUCUGUGCUGAGAAGGAAGGUGCUUGUUUCAAAGGGAGCAGCAAGGGAGGCUUGUUCUACUCACCUGGGCCUGUUUGCCUGAGAAGGGGAGAUAAGGGCUGAACUGGGACUAGCCAGGGGGACCAACACAAAUGGUGGGGGAUCAUGACCUGAAGGAUUCUUUCCUUCCCAUGAGCUGCAGGGCUGGUUGCCGUCCUUGCAACUGUGUCUUAUUUGCCUGUGCCGUUAUAUCUUGGUGACCCCUCCACGUGUACACUACUGACAAACGGGUGGAGUGCUGGGGAGAAGUCACUGUGCCGCCCACCUAGUAAACCUUCUGUCUGUGCUCAUGGCAUCUCCAAGAUGGGGCACUGCUGUGUGCAGAAUCCAGGGUCCUCUUUCUGCUUGCAACUCCUUUCCCUGGAUGCCCCAGAAACAAUCCAGGCCUCCUUUCCUAUCUUACCCCUUUGCUUUGCUUUUUACCCCAGCACCUCUAUAACCGCCUUCUCUUCUUUUCAGAACUCCUUGUUUCUCGUCCUGUUUUUUAUGAUUACAAAACUCUUGCUUCCACCCUGGAAGAUAACUGCUAUAGAUGCCUGUAUGUAAAUGGUGCUGUCUCCAGCAACUGGCAUGCUGAAGAAGAAUUGAUUCACGGGGUAUAAAUGUUGGGGAUUGGAAGUGGGGAUGAAAUGGCACUUGUUGAUACAGGAGCAGAGAGGUGAGGCCGACUGCUGAAGACAGCUCGCCACCCUCCUUGCCUCCACUCCAAUCCAGGGGCUGGGGCCACAUUCUUUGCCUUCAUUUAUCCUCAGAUCAGGUGAGAUCGACAGGAGGUGUUGAUGGCAGUGCCAGCAAUUAUUGCUAAUCCGUUUGCAUCCUUAUGCAUAGAUCUGAAUUCAGACUUUGUGAAUUUCCAGAGGUGUGGGUAAUAUAAUAGAAUUCAGUGAGUGGGCAUGGCUGAUCUUGUGCAAAUUAAAAGUUAUGGGGCAUAAGAAUAGCAAAAGUUGAACUUCUUUUAAAAAGGAAAGUACCCUGAGAGCCAGUAUUGGUUGAGGCUCUUCAGUAUGCCCAGGUUGGCAGCACUGAGAACCGCAGGAACGGCCUGUUGUUACAAAAAGGAGAUUGACUCAGCUGCCCUUGGUGCAUCUGACUGACUAUGACUGCUGAGAGAUUCCAAGGACCCUUAAUGCCAGGGCUAACCUCUCCAUGUGCAGUGAGACCUCUGGAGGAAGUGUCAUCCUCUGGCUUUGUGUGGUACUCAUUAUGGUGCAGUGCGGGCAUGAAAUGAAGACACCCAAAUAGGCUUACAGAUACGAUAUGUUUUAAAUGUUCGUAUUUAACAAAAACAUACUGACACUGUUUGGAAAUGGCAACAGGAAGAUAGCAAAAUGAAUACUAACAUUACGAAAAGAUGAACAGGUACAUGUUCCAAGGCAGGUGGCUGUGAACUUCCUCUGAGUGAAGGCAUCCCCUCCAGCACCUUUCAGCCUGCUAGUUAGGACGACCCGCCGCCACCCUCCAGGACCUCCAGCCCUGCACUGCCUUUCCUCUCUUUUAAAUAAUUCUUCAUUGAGUUCUAAUAUGUAAAAAAAAAAAGUUUACUGUAAAGUUUGCAAAUAAGGAAAUUUUUUUUAAAAGUCCUCAGUAAUCUUACCAGUAACAAUUGUUAUGGGCACAUUUGCUUUUGGAAGAUUUCUUUUGUAUGCAUGGGAUAAGUACAUUUUUAAACAAAAAUGGGAUUAUGCCAUAAAUUCUAUUUUGUGACUUUAAUAUAUAGUGAACACCUUUUUUAAUGAUGACAGGAUGUUCCCUUGCAUGGCUGUAUCAAUUUAAACAAUCUUGUUUCAAUGGGCAUACAGGGUAUUUUCUAGUUUUUUUUUCCUCUUAGAAAAUAAUACUUGCGAUGACUUUCCUUGUAGCUCAGACUUUUUCACGUCUGUUGUUAUCUCUUUGGGAAUGCUGAAUACAUACAUUUCGAGAAGGAAAUGACUGUUAAACUCUUAAGACUUCAGGUUCAUAUUGCUAAACUGCCCAGCAGGGAGGGAUUUUUUCAAUUAGUGUUCUCACUGGUGAGGCAAACCUGAUGCCUUCCCCUCUUCCUCAGAACCGGCUUUAUCACAUUGAAAACCUUUGCUCCUCCGACGGAUCGAGUCUGCUUUCCCUCUGGAUGUGAGCAUUGCUUUGUCUGCUGGUGACUGAACAUCUCUACCUUGUGUCAAUUGGCCAUUUGUGGUGUGUGUGUGUGUGCGUGUGUGUGUGUGUGUGUGUGUAUGAUUUUCUAAUUCCUAGUCAUUUUUCUAUUGAUUGUUUUGCAAAAGCCAUUUACAUCUUAAGGAUAUUGAUAAUCUUUUGUUAUAUUUGAUGCAAAUAUUUUUUUCCAGUUUAUAGGUUGCCUUUUAAUUUUGUGUUUCAGGUAGAUAAAAGUUAAACGAUUUUCUUAGGUUAGUUUAUCACUGUGGUUUCUGAACUUGUUAUGUGUAGAUCUUUUCCACCCCAAGAGUACAUAAAUAUUAAUCCAUACUUUCUUAUGGAACUUGUAUGGUUUCGUUUUUUACAUUUAAACCUUCUUCCCCGUGGUGUGUGUUGUGGAAUCUGUGUUUGUGUGAGGAGGGGCAUGGUGCUCUCAGAACCCACCUCCUGUGGCCAGAGAGCCCUGUCCUGUGAGGGUGGUUGUCACAGUGGCAGGGUUCAAUUCAGAAGACCUUGAGGGCAGGCUGAUGUUUCCUGAAUGGGCCCCUGGUUGUUGCUUGUCCCUGACUCUCCAUUUCCCCAUCUGAGUGGAUUUGGACCUAAUAGGGCACUGGAGCUGGUUCGAAUCCUGACUGGACUACUUGGCAACUUUAUGUCUGGGAGCAAGUUACUUAACCUCCCCAAGCCUGUGUCUGUGAAAUGCGGGUAAAUGAAUGUAGAUGUUUGGCAGCAGCUACUCCUUGUUGAGCUCUCACAGUGAACUCUCCUGCCUCUGCCCUCCUUCCCCGCCUCCCCUGGUGCCUAGCGUCAGGUCUAGCCACUUCCUCCUGGGCCCCUCUCCCUUUUCUGUGGCUGGCUGCCUGCCCGCCUGGCGCUGGACCUUUCAUGUAACGGGAAUCAGCAUGUAUAUUCUGGUCUGGUCUGUUUCUACACUUAAUUUUGUUUCCAGUAGUAUUUCCCUGUACCGGCAGAGUUCACAAACACAUUUGAAGAGGCUUUUUCUCAGGAUUCUUAACCUUCCCAAAGGAAGUCCCAUGGAUGGGUUUCUAGAAGUCUAUAAAUGCUCUGAAAUUGUAUUUUUCUGUGGAAAGCAUAACUUUCAUCUGCUUGUUCGUGCUCAAAAAAGAUCAUGAAUGAAUGAUUGCAUGAUUUUAUGCCAUUGUGCUUAUACUAAAGGAUAUGUAGCCCAUCUCUUGAGCUGUUAAACUGUUUUGACUACUUUAAAUCGUGCAGCUGUGAGCAUCUCUGUAAAUUUAGUGUACACAUGUAUCCCCUGGAGUGGCAUUGCCUCGGCAGUGAGCACUUAUGGUUUUAUAACUCUCUUCACAGACUCAAAUGACUCCAGAAAGCUACACUUCCUGUUGUGAGUAUAUGAUAUCCAUUUCCCUACAUAGCCACUAACAUCAGGUUUUUACAAUUUUAUUUAUUUCUUGCUACUUUAAGAAAUUUUUGUGGUGAAAUACAUAUAAUAGAAGUUGACUAUCUGAAUCAUUUUUAAGUAUACAUUCAGUAGUGUUAAGUAUGUCGCCAUUGUUGUACAACCAAUCUCCAGAACUUUUUCAUCUUGCAAAACAAACUCUGUACCCAUUAAAUAACAUUAAACAUUCCAUUCCCUCCAGCCUCAGCAACCCCAUUCUACUUUCUGUUUCUGUGAGUUUGACUAUUCCAAGCACUUCAUAUCAGUUAAAUCAUGAAGUAUUUGUCUGUCUGUGACUGGCUUAUUUCUCUGAGCACAGUGUCCUCGAGAUGCGUCUAUGUUGUAGCAUAUGUCAGAAUUUCCUUCCUUUUUAAAAGAUCCAAAUAAUAUUCUUAUUUUAUAUCUUUUUUUUAUCCAUUCAUCCAUUAGUGGACACUUGGGUUGCUUUUGGCUAUUGUAAAUAAUGGUGCUAUGUACAAAUAUCUAUAUUAUUGUAUUUACAAGUAUAAUGCUGUAAUGUACACACAUCUUUUUGAGAUCCUACCUUCAGUUCUUUUGAGUAUAUAGCCAGAAGUGGUAUUACUAAAUCUUACGAUAUUUCUAUUUUUAAUUUAUUGAGGAACCACUGUAGUUUUUCAUAGCAACUGCACCAUUUUACGUUCUCACCAAGAGUGCACAAGGGUUCCGAGGUUCCCACAUCCUCCCCAACACUUGUUAUUUUCUGCUUUUUUUAGAUUGCAGCCAUCAUAGUGGGUGUGAGGUGACAUUUCAUUGUGGUUUUGAUUUGCAUUUCCCUAAUGAGGAGUGAUGCUGAGCAUCUUUUCAUAUGCUUACUGGUCAUUUGUAUGUUGUCUUUGGAAAAAUGUCUAUUCAAGUCCUUUGACUAUUUUAAAAAUUGGGUUAUUAGAGUUAUCGUUGUUGUUGACUUGUAGGAGUUUCUUUCUAUAUUCUGGAUAUUAAUCCCCUAUCAGAUAUAUGAUUUGCAAAUAUCUUCUCUUAUUCCAUAAGGUUACUUUUUCACUUUGUUGAUUGUGUUCUUUGAUGUAUAGAAGUUUUUAGUUUUGAAAUAGUCUAAUUUAUCUGUUUUUACUUUUGUGGUCUGUGCUUUUGGUGUCAUAUCCAAGAAAUCCUUGCCAAAUCCAACGUUAUAAGGUACUUUUAAGGUAUUUUAGUUGUCUUAGUCUAUAUUUCUGUACUCACCUUUCUUUAUCCACUCAUCAGUUGAUGGGCAUGUAGGUUGGUUCCAUAUCUUUGCAAUUCUGAAUUGUGCUAUGAUCAGGUGUCUUUUUAGUAUAAUGAUUUACUCUCCUUUGGGUAGAUACCCAGUAGUGGGAUUGCUGGAUCGAAUGGUUUUUAUAAUUUUCUAUUUUACCACAGUUUCUCUCUGCAUUUUUCCUCUUUGACCACUAACCAUGUGAAAUUCUCAUAUUGACCUUUAUAAUGAUCAUGAACUCUUAGUAUCAUUGGGAAGGCCACAUUUGCCACUUAUGAUUGUAAACCUUAUCCUCCAUUUUUCCUGUUAUUGUUGGUGCAAAAAGCACCUAUUAUACCAGGACUUUAAAAAUCAGUCUGAUAAGUCUUUGAUAAGUCUAAUAAUAAUAACUGAUAAGUCCAUUGAAUUUGCUUCUGAUUACUUUUUCUUUAGUAGCUAAACAUGUAUGUACUCCUAUGAUUACAAUGAACACUCCUCUCCAUUUAAAUUAAUUAUUUACAUUGAUGAAAUAGCAAAAUGUUAAUGACUAAAUACUGUCUUGGUUUUUUCGUUCCAGGUCAGUCAAUAUUAACUUCUUAUAAUUUUCUUUUUUUUCUUUAUGUGUGUGUGUGUGUGUAUUUUUUUUUUUUUAAUUUCAAUGGCUUUUGGGGUACAAAUGGCUUUUGGUCAUAUAGAUGAAUUCUACAGUAGUGAAGUCUGAGAUUUUACUGCACCGGUCACCUGAGUAGUGUACAUUGUACCCAAUAUGUGGUUUUUUAUACCUUGCCCCCCUCUUACCCUCCCCACUUUGAGUCUCUAGUGUCCAUUAUGUCACUCUGUAUACCUUUUUGUACCCAUAAGUUAGCUCUCACUUAUAAGUGAGAACACACAGUAUUUGGUUUUCCAUUCCUGAGUUGCUUCACUUAGAAUAAUAUCCUCCAGCUCCAUCCAAAAUUGCUGCAAAAAAAAAAAAAACCACAAACAUUAUUUUGUUCUUUUUUAUUGCUAAGUCAUAUUCCAUGGUGUAGAGAUACCACAUUUUAUUUAUCCACUCACUGGUUGAUGGGUUGGUUCCACAUCUUUGCAAUUGUGACUUGUACUGCCAUCAAGUGUCUUUCUGGUAUAAUGACUUCUUUUCCUUUGGGUAGAUACCCAGGAGUGGGAUUGCUAGAUCAAAUGGUUCUUAACAUUUUCUCUCUGGAUCUAUUUCUGGAAAUUUUAGGCUCCAGUUUUUGUUGUUGUUGUUAAUAAAAUGCAAUGGAAUGUAAUGAUCAUCACUUUUCAUUAUGCUUUAAAAUCUGGUAAAUGGAGGCUAGAACACUCCUGUAAGGCAAGAAUAUUCUCUCUGUUGGAACUCAAAUACACAGAACUGGGUAAAUCUCAAUCUUAAUCUUUGAUUCAGGACACAACAUGGCUCUCUUUUACUUGCUUUCUUUAAUUGUUUUUUAAUAAUGUGGUAAGCAUUUCUGAAUCUCCUAUCCAAUACAAAAACUAGGACAAUACAGACAGUAACUCCUAUGGUUACAAUGAACACUCCUCUCCACUUAAAUUAAUUAUUUACACUGAUGAAAUUGAAAUAGCAAAAUUUUAAUGACUAAAUACUGUCUUUGAUUUUUUGUUCCAGGUCUGUCAAUAUUAACUUCUUAUAAUUUUCUUUUUUUUUCUUUAUGUGUGUGUGUGUGUGUGUAUAUAUAUAUAUUUAAUUUCAAUGGCUUUUGGGGUACAAAUGGCUUUUGGUCAUAUAUAUGAGUUCUACAGUAGUGAAGUCUGAGAUUUUACUACACCUUCCACUUAUGUGGUCCCACACCACCCGCCUCCCCUGCCGCCUCCUGCCACCCCCUAGGCCAAGGUAAUAAUCAUCCUGAAUCCUGGGUUUAUCUCUCACUUGCUUUCUUUUCAUAUAAUUUUGCAAAAGAAUCUGAUCUAAAUGUGUUUUUCAGAGUAUAUAUUUAUAUUUUAGCUGUUCUUAGAGAAAAUUUAUUAUUUUGCAUGUAAUCUUAUGGAACAUUCUCAUUUAAUACCAUGGUAAGAUUCAGCCCUUGCCCAGGGGAUAGUUCAUUUAGUUUGUUUACUGGAUAGAGCUCAUCAUGUGACUAUACCUCAGUUAGUUUAUCAGUUCUCCCAUCCAUGGUGACUAGGUUGCCUCUCAGCCUCUCAACAACACUGUUUCUCAGUGUCCUUGUAGAAGUGAUAUGUGGGUGUUUUCUCCUUACACAGAGUUGAAAGGUGACGACAACAACGUUGGCACUACCAAUCCCCCACCCUCCAGAGGGGUAACCAGUGUUACCAGUUUGCUGUGUUUCCUGCUACACCUCGCCUUAUUCACUUCCAUUUGUAUCUGAAAAACGUGUUGCAUGGUUUCUUUUCUAUAGAAGUGGUAAAAUGCUAUUGUGUCCUGUACAUUAUUGAUUACUUUUUUUCAUUUAACAGUAGGGAGAUGCCUGGGAGUACACAGAGAACUGCCCUCAUUGUUUUCAACUUCUGCACUGUAUGUCUUGCUCUGCACCCAGGUCACACUGUGGCUUUGUCCUCUGCUUAUGCCUGCAUUGCAGCAACUGUCCUGAAGAGACCAAAAUUAUGCAGAUUUAGAGGCCACCGUCAUGGCCAGUUGCUGCAGUUUCUUUCCAGAGAACCUGUGUAUGUGUAAAGCUGUACAGGCGUGGGUACACCACACAGCCUGUCUUGCACUGUGGACUGUUGAGUUACUAGUACAUCUAGAAUUCUCCUGGCUAUUCCAGGCUGCAUGUUUACCUUAACCUUCCCUGUGAUGUCUUCAUGCCGUUGUCUUCUUAUGCAAGAAUAAGGUACGUCUUUCCAUCCACUCACGUCUAUUUAAUUUGACUUUGCAUUACACAGAAAGCUGGUCUUGGUCUGUCUACCUCGGCAUCUAGUUGUCCUCACUGCCCCCUAGCCGACCCCACCCCAUCUGACUGACUACCCCAUCACAGAGUACUUUUAUUUACGUUUUGCUCUGCCUAAUGGUUACUUGAUACUGUCACGCCGACAGUGUCCAGUUCAGUGGUCUUUGCAGUUGAAAUGCUCCCGUACACACUGUCUUGUUAAAAAUGCCAGUAAGUUCAUACAAACCCAGCUUGCACCCAAGGUCACAUUCAGAGAGCGUAGGGCUGGGAUGGGUUGUUUUCCAAGCUUCUGCCACUGUGUGGCUAGCUCUUCCCACUGGGAAGUUCUGUGUACCCGGAAUGUCGGAGUGGAGUCCUGUUCUAGUGUCCAGCACCUGACCCUGUGCCCAACCCCUCAACAGCCUAUUCCUGCUGUCCACAGCCUGCUGGAACUUUUUACAAAAUAUGUUGCCAUGCUGGACCCUGGGCACUGGACAUAAGCCCCCUGGCAGCCUUUUUCAUGUCACCCAAAGGGGUAAUUGUCCUACUGGUGGUCUGUAAGAUGAGUUAGGGUGACUUGCUAAUAGACAUUGUAAAUCUUAAUAUUUAUGUAUGUAUUUUAUUAUUACCGGUUUUCCAUUUAUGAUGGUAAUAUUGUUUCUUCUAAGAAUAUUUAUUUUUCCUUCUAAAUAUUGAGAUAAAAUUCAUGCUUUUGAAAUGUUCUAUUCAGUGGCUUUUAGUAUAUUUGCUAUGUUGUGCAACCAUCGACACUAUCCAUUUCUAGAACUUUUUCGUCAUCCCAAACAGACGCUCUGUAUUCAUAAAAAAAUAACUUCCUACCUGUCUCUCCCCCUAGUCUUUGGUAACCUUUGUUAUACUGGUAAACUUUGUUGUGCUCUCUGUCUGUGUGAAUUUGCCUAUUCUAGGGGCCUCAUAUAAGUGUAAUCAUACAGUAUUUGUCUUUUUGGGUCUGUCUGAUUUCACUUAGCGGGUUUUCAGGGUUCAUUCAUGUUGCAGCAUAUAACAGUACUGCGUUCCUUUUUCUGGCUGAAUAAUAUUCCACUGUAUGGAUAGACCCCAUUUUGUUUAUUCACACAUCAUUUGGACAUUUGGAUUAUUUCUGGUUUUUGGCUAUUAUGAACAAUGGUGCUAUGAACAGUUGCGUACAAGUUUUUGUGUGAACAUAUGUUUUCAAUUCUCUCAUUAUAUACCUAGGAGUAGAAUUACUGGGUCAUAUGGUAACUGUAUAUUUUUGAGGAACUGCCAAACUAUUUUCCCACGUCCAUGCACCAUUUCACAUUCCCACCAGUAAGUAAGAGGGUUCCAAUUUCUGCGCAUUCUUGCCAACACUAGUUAUUAUCUGACUUUCUGGUUAUAAUCAUUCUAAUGAGUGUGAAGUAGCCUCUGGUGUCAUUUGGAUUUGCAUUUCUCUGAUGAGUGAUGCUAUCAAGCACCUUUGCUGGUGCUGUUGGCCAUAUGUGUAUGUUCCCUGGAGAAGUGUCUGUGCUGAGCCUUGGCCCACUUUUUAAUUAGGCGUUUGUCUUUUUAUUACUGAGUUGUAAGAGUUCUUUAUAUAUUCUGGAUUCUAGACCCUUAUCAGAUACAUGGUUUGCAAAUAUUUUCUCCCAUUCUGUGGGUUGUGUUUUCACUUUAUCGAUAAUGUCCUUAGACAUAUAAUAAAUUUGUAUUUUAAAAGUGACUUGAUUUGGCUGUGCAAGGUGGCUCACGCUUGUAAUCCCAGCACUUUGGGAGACUGAGGUGGGUGGAUCAUAUGAGGAGGCUAGGAGUUCGAGGUCAGCCUGGCCAGCAUAGCGAAAACUUGUCUCUACUAAAAAUACAAAAAUUAGUCAGGCAUGGUGGUGCACGUCUGUAAUACCAGCUUCUCAGGAGGCUGAGGCACGAGGAUCACUUGAACCCAGGAGGAGGAGGUUGCAGUGAGCUGAGAUCAUGCCAGGGCAACAGAAUGAGACUUUGUUUAAAAAAAAAAAAAAGUGACUUGAUUUAAGGGAAAAAAUGACUGGCUAUAUUCAGUCAGAUAUGGCAAAAAGUCUCAAGGUGUUAAUGUGAAUGAUUAAGGUCUUGGGGGGGGUGUCCCCUAUCAGACUACAGGUGUUUAGAGGCACAGAAAAAGGUGCAGUUGGGUUCUUAAUGUGAAAUGAUGAGAAGCACAACUCCAGUGUGUCUCUUUGUGUAGAAUGUCAGCAGACACCCCCUGCUAGAUGUGCUGGAUCAUGGGAAAGCAUUUCCAUUUGUUACUAGAUUGUUCAGAAGUUUUAAUUUAUGAUGGGUGUGGUGGCUCAUGCCUGUAGUCCCAGCACUGUGGGAGGCUGAGGCAGGAGGAUCAUCUGAGGCCAAGAGUUCAAGAUCAGCCUGGGCAACAUAGUGAUACCCUAUCUCUUAAAAAAGAAGAAGUUUUUAAAUUUGAAAUAAUAAUAGGUACUGGAUUUAUGCAAAUGUCUUUUCUGCGUCUUUUGAGAUGAGUAUCAGGUUUUUUUUUUUCCUUUUAUCAUCUGAUGAUGAACUUAAUGUUUCCAUUUGUAUUAAUGGAAUACUAAGUCCCUCUGUGAUUUCUGAACCAAGCUAUUCCUAGGCCUGAGUUUUAUUUUGUUGACACAGAAAUAAAUUAGAAGGCCAAGCGUGGUGGCAUGUGCCUGUAGUCCUAGUUGCUGAGGUAAGAGGAUUGCUUGAGCCCAGGAGUUCAAGGCUGCAGCAAGCUUUGAUUGCGCCACUGCACUCCAGCCUUGGCGACAGACUAAGACGCUGUCUCAAAAAAAAACAAAAACGACAAAAAAAAAACAAAACAGAAAAAAUAAACUAAGGCAAUGACAGUCCCUGGCAAAUGCUGGGAGGGAGGCAGCAGUGGUCAGGGAAGGUAACCCUGAAGCAGGACUUGUAAAGCAAAUAAGAUUGGGAGGCCAAGGUGGGUGGAUCACGAGGUCAGGAGUUCGAGACCAGCCUGGCCAACAUAGUGAAACCCCGUCUUUACUAAAAAUACAAAAAAAUUAGCCAGGUGUGGUGGUGGGUGCCUGUAGUCCCAGCUACUUGGGAGGCUGAGGCAGGAGAAUCUCGAACCCAGGAGGCGGAGGUUACAGUCAGCUGAGACCGCACCAUUGCACUCCAGCCUGGGUGACAGAGCAAGAUUCCGUCUCAAAAAAAAAAAAAAAAAAAAAACCAAGAAGAAAAGGAAUGAAUUAGAACUUCUUCUGCUUGGACUUAAGGGCAUCAUCAGGCAGGUUUUGGGUAGGAUAGCAGGGGAGGCAGAGACAUAGUCGGGGUCAGUGGUCAUGAGUGUGGCUUUGAGCCCAAAAACUUGGUUUCUGUUCCCUACUUUGCCACUCAGUAGUGCAUGACUUUGGCCAAAUUUCUUAAAUUCAUGAAGCAAGUUUCCGGGUGAAUGAAAUGGGGAUAAAAAUAGUGUUCAAACCUAUCCGUUGGUUUGUGUGAAACUGAAAUGAAUAGUAUCGUGCAGGUACUUGUGAGCAAGGGGAGCUGCUGUUUCCUGUCCCUUUAUGAUGGGAAAUAUCUAGACAAGUUCCCAACCCUCUGCACUGCAGGCUGCAUGGCACGGAGGGUCUUGUAACACCAGCUGGGGCUGGCCUUCUUUUAGGAGCUUCAGUGGUUCUGAAAACUUUUAUUUGUUUGUUUGUUUUAGUAGAUGUGGGGUCUUUCUGUGUUGCCCGGACUGGUCUCAAACUUCUGGACUCAAGUGAUCCUCCCCCGCUCAACCUCCCAAAGUGUUGGGAUUACAGGUGUGAGCCACUGUGCCCAGCCUUGAAAACUUUUUCAGGUUCUUCCAGGGUUACUGGGCUAUUAAAUAUUUCUAUUUCAUUAUAAGUCAGUUUUUCAAAGUUAUAUUAUCUUAAUUACCUUUUUUAUAUGUAUUAGUGUAGAGUAGCAUUUUAUAUUUUGAUAUCCUCCUUAUGCAUAGUUUUUCACUUUUUAUUCCUAGUUUUUCGUUUUUAAUAAGACUUUCAAGAAAUUUAUUUUAUUGGCCUUUUGAAAAAAGCAGCUUUAGAUAAAGUAAGCAGUUCUGCUUUCAUUUUAUAAUUUAUUUCUACUUUUGUUUCAUUAAUCUUUUCCUCCGGCAUGCCUUGGAUUUUGUUGUGUUACUCUUUUUCUAGAGGCUCGCAUUGUGUGUCUGGUUCACUUAUGAUCACGCUUGCCUACUUUUAAGAAUGGAAGAGGGGAGGUGGAGGGUGGCUGCACAGUCGAGGGUGUGAGGCAGUCUUGCUCUAGCCCCACCAUGCCCUCAGCCCGCUGUGGCCACGCUGGUUCCUCAAUUGCUGGGGCGUGCAGUGUCUGUAAGGGAGGCUACUGAUGCCAUCCGAGGAAGAUGUAAGGUUUCGUGUGGGCAGCGAGAGCCUAGCAGGCAUGUGGGGUGCCCAGCAAAGGGUAACAGUGGACAGUUGUUGCCUCAUUCCACAGAGUUUUGAUUUUUUUUUUUUUUUUAAUGGUCACUCCAUCAACAUCCCCCAUGGCCAGAGCCUGAGCUGGUCCCCAGAGACACAGGCAUUCAGCUGACAGCCUCGCCUUCACGCUGCUGCUGUUCUCAUGGGGGACAGGCCUCAGGUGGCAAUGCACAAAUCAUUAGUUAAGGGCAGUUGUGACAGUUACCAAGGAGUGUAGUCCCCCGCCCCCCGCCCAGUGAAAACAGCCCUAACCAGGGGUGGGGACCUUUGGGCUCUGACCCGAAGGGUAGGAGAAGCUGGAAGGACAGCAUUCCUGUCUGCGAAGGCAGGAGCAAAGCUGCCAGGCUAUGAAGGAAAUGGCUGGAGCCUGAAGUCAUGCAAGCUGGGGCUGGCAGGGACAGGGCCAACUUCCAGGCCUGGGGGCCACCAUGAGGAUUCAGGACGUGACCCCCAGGGCACAUGAAGGCCUUCCAUCUGUAUUUAAGAAAAGACUUUAUCAGACGAGUAUGGUGGCUCACGCCUGAAUCUUAGCACUUUGGGAGGCUGAGGCAGGUGGAUCACGAGGUCAGGAGUUCAAUACCAGCCUGGCCAAUAUGGUAAAACCCCAUCUCUACUAAAACUACAAAAAUUAGCCAGGCAUGGUGGCGCACGCCUGUAGUCCCAGCUACUCGGGAGGCUGAGGCAGAAGAAUCACUUGAACCCGGGAGGUGGAGGUUACAGUGAGCCAAGAUCGCGCCACUACACUCCAGCCUGGGUGACAGAGUGAGACUCCGUCUCAAAAAAACCAAAAGACUUUAUCUUAUUUCCUAUAUGUUUGUGGUUUCAGUCCUGAUGUAUAAUUUGACCCUAGUUAGAAUGGUUAUCUGAGGAAGUGGCCUGUACGAUUUCUGCUUUUUUAAAUGUGUGGCUCCCUUUCUUCAUUGAUUAACGUAUGAUUAUUUUUAUAAAUGUUCCAUGGCAGUGGGAAGGGAUUCUCUGUCACAUUCCACAUCUGGAUCAGUUCCUCCCCAUUUUGUUGGUCAAAUCCGAUCUGCCAUAUCCUGUGUAAUGACAAGUGAGUUGCAUUCUCACCGUCACUCCUGGGGUCUCUCCGCUUCCCCUGAGCUGGCUCAGCAGUCUGCUCCAUGUGUUUUGAUGCAGGGUGACCCAUUGGUAUUCCCGACACUAACGCCCCCGUCUGUGGACUGCUUGCUGCUUGGGCUUCACUGUGUCUGGUGUUGACAGUGCAGACCUAAAGGUGUGCACACAUGUGCACACACACUCCGCUGUCUUCUUGUUUGCACUGGACUUAAAUAUCUAUGAGGGUUAUUUUCAACUGCUGAAUUUGGAAUGAUUUUUAUAUCUUUUCUGCUUUCUGCCCAUGUACAUGUGUUUAUUUUACACUGUUGUGAUUGGUAGUUACUAUGUGGGGACACAAUUACUUGGGCUGAAAUAAUCCACCUGUUGUGGUUGGGGUCCUCUGGGGCAUUCCAGGGUGAGAGGUUGUCACUGCCACCUGGGCCAUGUGGGCCGGCACCAGCAUUUUGUGGUUACGAAUUCUACAGUCACAAAUAUCUUUGGGCAAAUCCCCUUCUAUACCUCAAGGCAGCUUUUGGUUUGCAACCCCACUGGCCAGAGGGAAGGGCCAGUCACUUGGCUCUCUCACUGCCCUGCGCCCCAGAUGGUUCUAGGGCUGCUGUUUUCCCUUGGCCCUGCCAACACCACUGUUUUUACUUCUGCUCAUUGGCUGAGUGCAGUGGUUCCUGGAAGCCAGUGGCACGUUUCCCCGCGUAGCUCGCUUAUCCCACAGCACACACCCAAGGGUUCUGUUGCUAACACGCUGAAUUAAUUCUUUGCUCAUCUUACAGAGUGUGUUUUGACUGCCCCCAUUUCUGAGGCCUUGUAAGGCCAGAGCUUUGUUGCUUCAUCGGCAGGUUGGGACUUAGAUGGCCGUGAAUGUUUCCUCUCUGCUGCUGCAGUAAGUAAGUGCCCGCACCAUAGUGUGUUUGGAGGCUGAAGUUGAAGCGAGGCUGUGAGGGGAGAUGGACGUGUGAGGAGGGAUGAUGGGGCUUGAGCAAAGUGGGGGAGGGGGCAAAGGCAGUUGGCCCAACACAUUCCCCACCCCUUUGAGAGGUCUGAGGCCUGCAGACCUGGCUCGGAGCCCACCUGGUAGUCCUCAGACUGUGUGUGUGUGUGUGUGUGUGUGUGUGUGUGUGUGUGUGUGUGUGUGUGUGUGUGUGUAAAAGAGAGAAGUUGUGGAGAAAUGGGGGGCUGAUUCUGCUCAGAUUCAUCAGGAUGAGUAGAAGGCACCCAGCUCUCACCCUGGCCUGACAUGUGUGUCCCUGAGCAGGUUACAGUCCUCUCUGAGCCUCUGCUUCCCAUCUGGACCCUGCUGGGCAGGGCUUCUGAGCUCCUUAGCACUAGCAGGAGGGGCUCCAGGGGCCCUCCCUCCAUGGCAGCCAGGACAGGACUCUCA
rnacentral:lncRNA from 1 species